GACGAACGCUGGCGGCGUGCUUAACACAUGCAGGUCGAACGAUGAAGCCUAGCUUGCUAGGUGGAUUAGUGGCGAACGGGUGAGUAAUACGUGAGUAACCUACCUUUAACUCUGGGAUAAGCCCGGGAAACUGGGUCUAAUACCGGAUACGACCAAUCUCCGCAUGGGGUGUUGGUGGAAAGCGUUAUGUAGUGGUUAUAGAUGGGCUCACGGCCUAUCAGCUUGUUGGUGAGGUAACGGCUCACCAAGGCGACGACGGGUAGCCGGCCUGAGAGGGUGACCGGCCACACUGGGACUGAGACACGGCCCAGACUCCUACGGGAGGCAGCAGUGGGGAAUAUUGCACAAUGGGCGCAAGCCUGAUGCAGCGACGCCGCGUGAGGGAUGACGGCCUUCGGGUUGUAAACCUCUGUUAGCAGGGAAGAAGAGAGAUUGACGGUACCUGCAGAGAAAGCGCCGGCUAACUACGUG
rnacentral:rRNA from 1 species